UACGGAGGGUGCAAGCGUUAUCCGGAUUCACUGGGUUUAAAGGGUGCGUAGGCGGCUUUAUAAGUCAUUGGUGAAAGCUCGCAGCUUAACUGUGAAACUGCCAUUGAAACUGUUUAGCUUGAAUCUGGUUGAAGUGGGCGGAAUACAACAUGUAGCGGUGAAAUGCUUAGAUAUGUUGUAGAACACCGAUUGCGAAGGCAGCUCACUAAACCAACAUUGACGCUGAGGCACGAAAGCGUGGGUAGCGAACGGGG
rnacentral:rRNA from 1 species